CCUACGGGUGGCAGCAGUGGGGAAUAUUGGGCAAUGGGCGAAAGCCUGACGCAGCGACGCCGCGUGAGGGAUGAAGGUCUUCGGAUCGUAACCCUCUGUCAGCAGGGAAGCACGGUCACUGUGCUAAUCAGCAGUGAAUUGACGGUACCUGCAAAGGAAGCACCGGCUAACUCCGUGCCAGCAGCCGCGGUAAUACGGAGGGUGCGGGCGUUAAUCGGAAUUACUGGGCGUAAAGCGCUCGUAGGCGGGAUGUCAAGUCAAGGGGGAAAUCCACGCGCCCAACGUUGGAACUGCCUUUGAAACUGGCAAACUGGAGAGUGUGAGAGGAUAGUGGAAUUCCAGGUGUAGGAGUGAAAUCCGUAGAUAUCUGGAGGAACAUCAGUGGCGAAGGCGACUAUCUGGCACAUAACUGACGCUGAGGAGCGAAAGCGUGGGUAGCAAACAGGAUUAGAUACCCCUGUAGUC
rnacentral:rRNA from 1 species